rnacentral:rRNA from 1 species
UACGUAGGGUGCAAGCGUUAAUCGGAAUUACUGGGCGUAAAGCGUGCGCAGGCGGUUUUGUAAGUCAGAUGUGAAAUCCCCGGGCUCAACCUGGGAACUGCAUUUGUGACUGUAGAGCUGGAGUACGGUAGAGGGGGAUGGAAUUCCGCGUGUAGCAGUGAAAUGCGUAGAUAUGCGGAGGAACACCGAUGGCGAAGGCAAUCCCCUGGACCUGUACUGACGCUCAUGCACGAAAGCGUGGGGAGCAAACAGG